UAGGGAAUCUUCGGCAAUGGGGGGAACCCUGACCGAGCAACGCCGCGUGAGUGAAGAAGGUUUUCGGAUCGUAAAGCUCUGUUGUUAAGGAAGAACGAGUGUGAGAAUGGAAAGUUCAUGCUGUGACGGUACUUAACCAGAAAGGGACGGCUAACUACGUGCCAGCAGCCGCGGUAAUACGUAGGUCCCGAGCGUUGUCCGGAUUUAUUGGGCGUAAAGCGAGCGCAGGCGGUUAGAAAAGUCUGAAGUGAAAGGCAGUGGCUCAACCAUUGUAGGCUUUAGAAACUGUUUAACUUGAGUGAAGAAGGGGAGAGUGGAAUUCCAUGUAUAGCGGUGAAAUGCGUAGAAUUAUAGAGAAACACCAGUGGCGAAGGCGACUCUCUAGUCUGUAACAGACGCUGUGGCUCGAAAGCGUGGGUAGCAAACAGG
rnacentral:rRNA from 1 species